rnacentral:snRNA from 1 species
GAAUGUGAUGGUGACCUGGUUGGAACAUCUGUCACCCCACCGAUCACCAGGUUCGAUUCACCUGAUCUAGCUGAACAGGCAAGUGUCCUCUUCCUCUAUCAAUGCUCCAUGUGUUUUUCUUCUCAAGCUGCAAGCUCGGCUUGAAGAGGAUGACUACCCUGAUAUAGGAGGAUCAUACCUUGGUCAAGGGUAUAUGAAGAUCUGUGUUCCUCUUCUAGAACCUGCAAACAGGUUCUCAAGAUGUUCUAUGUCUGAGCCAGCCAGAUAGCGCAGUGGACUAUAGCACCUGAUUAGGCAGACGCAUGAAUCUGGGUUUGAUCCCCGGU